rnacentral:lncRNA from 10 species
GUGCCAGCCAACUGUGGCUGCCUGGGACACUCCAUCUUAAGUCCCUGUGCCUCUGCUGUGUGUUACUGAGUGCCUAGGCCGUGCCAGCCUGUAUUCAUCUGUACUAUGACCUGAAGAGGCAGAGGCCAUCACUGUUGGUCCGGUCUCCACCUGGGGAAACUGAGGUUGCACAGUUGCGUGGUGGAGUGAGGGCAGGGCCUGGGUCUGGGGGCGGGGCCUGGGUCUGACCCCAGGGACUGGUUUUUGUGUUCAGGUGUCUCUGUGGUGACGAGCAGGGCUUCAUCCAGUGCCUCUGUCCCCACCGAGGGGACUAUGGGAGACAUGGAGGGUGUGUGAGCAACAGGUGAGACUGGAGCCAGCUGAAAACUGGGAGACCGACCCAGCCAACAAACAAUGUCGGUCUCUGUCUUGGCACCUGCAGGAAACAAGCUCCUACUUCCAGAAAAAGUGCUCCUGGGACUCCAGGAUACCAGGCAUCUGGGUAAGCUACAAUGCUUAACCACUUAACACAAUCAGGAAGCAACAGCCAUGCAUUCGGGAAAGGAACUUCAGUGUUGUGUGGCUCAGUCUC